CCGAAAAUUGCUGCAACUUCUCUCUCGGCCGGAAAUCGGCCUUGAUUUUCAUUUCCCCAUAUCUUCCUCCUCCGGCCACCAAUUCUCACCAAAUUUCUUCCAUUGGCUUCGUAUGGUCCUUGCGCACCCGUCUGUGGUGACCUUGCACGGCGGCGGCAAGCUCGUUCCGAUUUGAGUUCGAUUUUAGUCAACGCCGUUUUUCUCCUAGCUCCGGCCACCAAAACUUCCGAUCCUUAGCUCCAUGAACUCGAAUCAACCUGCUGAUCAUCAUACUAGAAGGAUCGCACCUGGAGUGACCGGUUUCACGUUCGUCGGAGCUUGGCCGGUUUUCGAUCGAACACCAAAACCUUUCGAUAGUGAUAUCUCGAGCUGUACUGCAUCGUUUUGAUUGAUUCUUGAACCAGUGAGUUCGCCUUGAUGUUCUUAACAACUCUCCAGAAGGAAUCGAGGCCUGAAAUUGAAGUUUUUAUGUCGAAAUCGUGGCUCGCCGGUUUCUGCAUUUCUUCGCCGGUUUCUGGAAAUUUUCCGGCCACCUUCAAACUGUUCUAGGUGAUUGACGGUCUUCCUUGGUGGGCGGUUUGGUGUGUAUUGUGAAAUUGAAGACGCAGCGGGAUUAGAGCGGGUAAUCCUACAGGUCAGGAGAAUCGAGAAGGUGAUCAGGCUGCUUAGAGUAGUGAGAUUGGAGUUACAGCUUUAUUGUGAGGUUGUUAUGCUCAUUGAGCUUACAUUUAAAUUUGGUGAGAGUGUUUGUAAUAUUAAAUUCUUGAGGAUUUGGUUUAUGUAUUAGUGAGUGAGGCUAGAUGUGUUUAUAUCUGAGAAAAAAAUUCAGAACGUUUAUUUGAUUAAGUUGUUUAUUUCAUGUUUUGGAUUUGAAUUUAUUA